AUGUUCCCGUCACCGCCCACCCUCCCCCCUCCCUGCCGCCGUUGCCUCACCCUUUUUUUGGAAGUCAGUUUUAUCUUGAUUUUGAAGUCGAUAGUCGUGUGUAGCAAGGUGGAUCUAGGGUUUCGUGAGAUUUUCGCCGAUUUUGUUGCUUAUAUCUGUCACUUCGUCCUUGUGCUGCAUGCAAACACAAUAUCUUCACCGAGCAGAGUGGGAGGAGGAGUUCAGGUAGGUGAUUGCAGUGCUCUUAAUGAUACACCAAUUGGCUCUUGUUGUCCUGGUGGUAAUGAUCCUGGUGUCGAGGGAGGACAUGAAGUGAAUUCGCCGAUUGAAUCUUCUCCCAUAAGUGUGGUUCCUCCUUCUGUGUUUGUUUUCCAUGCUGGGGCGCCUGUUUUUGAGGAGUCUGUUGAUGGUACAGAUGAAGUUACACAUGAUUGGAUGGUCUCGGAACAGCUUCGUGAAUAUGAGUUGAAGCAAAGCAAGAAGAAGUUGAUGUUUGAAAGUGACUCAAAAGAGUUUGCGGAGAAGGAGAAGCAGAGGAGAGCUGCAGAUGGUGCCAAAUUUGCCAAGAAGAAUCUUGGCAAGAGAACUGCUGAAGCUAGUGGAAAGGAUGAUCCUCAGCGUAAGCGACUACAUGUCACUGAAGGUACCAACUCUGAUGAUGACCACUUUGUGCUUGCUGAUUUUGUGAGGGAUGUUCAUACUGGUAGACGCAAAGACCGUGGUUCAUCUAAGAGUCUACCCAAGCGUGCCCAUGAUGAUGUCGAUGAAGAUGUUGGUGGUGACUCUGGCGAGGAGGUGGAUGUUGUUCCAAAGAGGAAGAAGUCUUGUAAGAGUAAUGCAACUAAAUAUGAUGCUGAGGGAGAUGAUUCUCGAUUUAACAAGACUAAAAAUGUGUCAUGCAUUCUUAUGUGCUAUCUGAUGGGAGUGAUUGACCCUGCCACCAUGAUAAUUGACUUUGGGAAUGGCUUGGUUCUUCGAAUCAAUUGUGAUGCAGUUCAUCACAUUUUUGAUUUACCUAUGGGACGUCACACUACACCCAUGCCUGCUGCAAGCAGCCAUGAUGACUCAUUGACUGCCCUCAAGGAUGAGCUUGGCUUUGGCCGUUCAAAAAGUAUAGGUGUGAAGGACUUGCUUGAGAAGUGGAAGGUGUUGGUGGAGGAAGAUGAUCAUGUGACUGUUGACCUUGCUGUGAAGGUGUUCUUCCUGAUACUUUACCAGAAUUUGCUGUGCCCUGAGCCUGCAGUUCAUUUGGGUAUAGUUGCUGCAAUGCUAGAGAACAUGGAUUAUGCGGCUAUGACUCAGAUGGACUUUUGCCAGCUUGUUGUUGAUGAGUUUCAGGCAGCUGUGGUGAGGCGGCAAACAGAAGACAACAAGCAGAAUUAUGCAGAGGGUUGUGCCAUUGUCCCCCUGAUUAUGUAUAUUGACUGCUUGAAGCUUCGCAAAUUUUCAGUCAUGCACAUGUUGACGCCACAUGUGUCAUACUUGACGACCAAGGACCUGAUGAAGUUAUACAAUGACGAUAUGCUUUGGAAGGCGUCAGGUGAUAUUGUGUACAACCGUCCUACUGCAGUUGUAUGCGGCAGCUCUGAUGCAGGGCCUAGCACUCAUGCUAGGUUUUAUGAGCCUAUAUGUAGCCAGAUUGCUAUCUGUGAUGAUGAGGGGCCGUGUACUCGUGGUUUCAUGGCUCGACAGAUGUUUGAUAAUAGAAGCUCUUUUAAACAGACAUUUGUUGGCAGCAAAAAACAUGAGGAGAUUGAUGAGCUUCUUCUGAAGGAGGAAAAAUGCGGUCGGUGUGAGAAGGAUGCUGGGCAUAUUUUGGAUGAAAUGAACCGUCAAGACGCUGGCGUUGGCGCUGAUAAUGCUGGAGUGGAAUCUUCUGGUCUCCAGGGAACUACGGACGAUGGAGUUGUUCAGACUGGUGUUGCUGCUUGUGAUGUGCACAAAGAGUCGUACGAUGGCUCUGGAAAGGAUGAGGUCUUGGCUAAUGCAUCGUCCCCUGCGGAUGUUGUAGAUGAUAAGUUUUACAUGUGUGAGCUUCAGUCUUUGACAGAAGUGAACUGUAGUUCUUUUCGCAUGCGUGGUCCAUAG
rnacentral:rRNA from 1 species